UUCAAGCAAAUUGGGUGUUAAUUCUCUGAUAUCGUCUAAAGCGUUAUCUCCUGUGCCACACUAGGAAUCUGGGGCACUGACCUUUGGUCCUUCCUUCCAUCCAGAAAAGGACUCAGGGUGAGCCUAACAGGAUAAUCCCAUAACCCACGUGCUACUGCAACAUGACCGAGGUCUCAGAACCCUGCAGAAUGUGAUGUUCAGUCAGCUGUGACCAGGACUAAUGUGAGCCUUCCAUCAUGUGCCAGUCUCCUAGAAAAGAGGCAGUCACACGGGUAAACUGCACAUCUGAAAACAUAGUUCUGCCCGCUCUGACUCUGGUCCCUGUCUCCAGUCCCACGUCUCCUCAUCCUGCUACUCUGCCCUGGAUUCCCCACUCUACUGCUCCCUUGGAUUCCCCUCCGGACCUGCUUACCAUGUCCCAACCCCUAUCGCUCCAGCCUCACCCUCCGCACCUGGUUUCCUGCAACCCUCCCGAGCUUCCCCUGCCCUGCACUCCAUCUUCCCCCUGUGUUUCAAUAAAUACCUUGGUUACUUCA